rnacentral:rRNA from 1 species
GUGAGGAAUAUUGGUCAAUGGGCGCAAGCCUGAACCAGCCAUCCCGCGUGAAGGAAGAAGGCCCUACGGGUUGUAAACUUCUUUUCUGUUUGAAGAAUAAGCUUGUCGAGACAAGUGAUGCCGGUAGGACAGGAAUAAGCAUCGGCUAACUCCGUGCCAGCAGCCGCGGUAAUACGGAGGAUGCAAGCGUUAUCCGGAUUUAUUGGGUUUAAAGGGUGCGCAGGUGGUUGAAUAAGUCAGUGGUGAAAGUCUGGCGCUUAACGUUAGGAUUGCCAUUGAGACUGUUUGACUUGAAUAUGGAUGAGGUAGGCGGAAUGUGUAGUGUAGCGGUGAAAUGCUUAGAUAUUACACAGAACACCGAUUGCGAAGGCAGCUUACUAAUCCAUUAUUGACGCUGAGGCACGAAAGCGUGGGGAUCAAACAGGAUUAGAUACCCGAGUAGUCC